GACGAACGCUGGCGGCGUGCCUAAUACAUGCAAGUUGAGCGAUGAAGAUUGGUGCUUGCACCAAUUUGAAGAGCAGCGAACGGGUGAGUAACGCGUGGGGAAUCUGCCUUUGAGCGGGGGACAACAUUUGGAAACGAAUGCUAAUACCGCAUAAUAACUUUAAACAUAAGUUUUAAGUUUGAAAGAUGCAAUUGCAUCACUCAAAGAUGAUCCCGCGUUGUAUUAGCUAGUUGGUGAGGUAAAGGCUCACCAAGGCGAUGAUACAUAGCCGACCUGAGAGGGUGAUCGGCCACAUUGGGACUGAGACACGGCCCAAACUCCUACGGGAGGCAGCAGUAGGGAAUCUUCGGCAAUGGACGAAAGUCUGACCGAGCAACGCCGCGUGAGUGAAGAAGGUUUUCGGAUCGUAAAACUCUGUUGGUAGAGAAGAACGUUGGUGAGAGUGGAAAGCUCAUCAAGUGACGGUAACUACCUAGAAAGGGACGGCUAACUACGUG
rnacentral:rRNA from 1 species